GUGCAUACGGCAGCCGGCAUGGCGCAUUACAACUUCAAGAAAAUUACGGUGGUGCCGUCCGCCAAGGACUUUAUAGACCUCACGUUGUCGAAGACUCAACGAAAGACUCCAACCGUUAUUCAUAAACAUUACCAAAUACAUCGCAUUAGACAUUUUUACAUGAGAAAAGUCAAAUUUACUCAACAGAAUUACCAUGAUAGACUUUCACAAAUUCUAACAGAUUUCCCUAAAUUGGAUUGUUGCUAAAGAUUAUGUGCGACUGAUGAAGUACGGCGACUCUCUCUACCGCUGCAAACAGCUGAAGCGUGCGGCCCUGGGACGGAUGUGCACGGUGAUCAAGAGGCAGAAGCAGAGUUUGGAGUAUUUGGAGCAAGGUGCUUGUCAUGCGUCUGCAGGAACCGUGUUAGCAUCCUACUGAGAGGAUGCGUCCUUGUUGAGGGCUUGAGAUGUCUGUUUUUGUUGUAUUUUAGAGAUGACAGGGUCAGUUAUUUUUCCUAGCUUUACCUGUGAGAAACAGUAAUAGGCUGGUUUUUAUUGAAAAAGUGCUAGCACUUAAAAUACUUACAAAUCAAUAGCACUGAUAAGAAAAUUUAUAUAUUUCAUAUUUAAUAGGUAAGGCACAGACAAAAAAGUCAUGAGAAAAUACUGAAAAGUAUAAAAACUAAGGUGGCUCAAAGUUUAUUAUUGACUUUUUAAUUUUUAAAAAUACUUUUAUUUAAUAGGACUUUCUGAAUUAAUGUAGUAGGAUUCUAUUGAAACAAUUACUUGCUUAUUUAUUUGUGUGUAUUCUUACAUGACAAAUUAUUUUGACUCAUUUGGUUUUGUUUUCCCUCCUGCAUCUUAGAAAUAAUUUUUAACAAAAUUUAUGGUACUUGGAUGCUUUGCAGGUGCUUUCCUACACAUCUGUGUGGUCGUCAGGAUGGCCCGGGGGUGCCACCCUGGAGCCGUGUUUGUUACAGAUGAGGUGGCAGAAUGGCAGUAACCCAUGUUGUAGCCAGAGCGGCAUGGCGUGCAGGCUUCAAAGUACACUGUUUCCCUAAUAUAUCACCACAGGCCUGGACUAUAACUAAGUUGAAAAGAAAAUUUAAAGCAAAUCUUAAACUUCGAGUUUCUUAAUUUUUCAAUUUGAACUUUUCCUAGUGCGUCAGCAUUUAUCCCGUUUGCCAACCAUUGAUCCGAAUACCAGGACCCUGCUUUUGUGUGGGUACCCAAAUGUUGGGAAGUCCAGCUUCAUCAACAAGGUGACGAGAGCAGACGUGGAUGUCCAGCCCUAUGCGUUCACAACCAAGUCUCUGUUUGUUGGGCACAUGGAUUAUAAGUAUCUACGUUGGCAGGUUGUAGACACUCCUGGGAUCCUGGACCACCCUCUGGAGGAUAGGAACACCAUCGAGAUGCAGGCCAUCACUGCCCUGGCCCACCUCCGUGCUGCAGUCCUGUAUGUGAUGGAUUUGUCUGAGCAGUGUGGGCAUGGGCUGAGGGAGCAGCUAGAACUCUUCCAGAACAUCAGACCUCUCUUCAUCAACAAGGUAUAUGUGGUCACUCGUGUUUUGCUUCGUAUCCUGCAGUAUGAGAAUAAUGAUUUCAUUACUUUUCUUCCUUGCCUAGCCUCUCAUAGUUGUAGCCAACAAAUGUGAUGUGAAGAGAAUAGCUGAACUUUCUGAAGAUGAUCAGAAAAUAUUUACAGAUUUGCAGUCUGAAGGAUUCCCUGUAAUAGAGACCAGCACCCUGACUGAGGAAGGUGUUAUUAAAGUUAAAACAGAGGCUUGCGAUAGGCUUUUGGCUCAUCGAGUGGAAACCAAAAUGAAGGGAAAUAAAGUGAACGAGGUGCUGAAUAGACUGCACCUGGCUGUCCCAACCAGGAGGGACGAUAAGGAGAGGCCCCCUUUCAUCCCUGAAGGAGUGGUGGCUCGCAGGAAGAGGAUGGAAACGGAGGAGCCCAAGAAGAAGAGGGAACGAGAUCUUGAGCUGGAAAUGGGAGAUGAUUAUAUUUUGGAUCUUCAGAAGUACUGGGAUUUAAUGAAUUCGUCUGAAAAACAUGAUAAGAUACCAGAAAUCUGGGAAGGCCAUAAUAUAGCUGAUUAUAUUGAUCCAGCCAUCAUG
rnacentral:sRNA from 1 species